GGGGAUUACAAUUCAGUAUGAGAUUUGCGCAGGGACAAAUAUCCAAACUAUUUCAACUCCUUUGGGCCUGCUUACGAAUGAAAACCAUUUCUGAAGUCAGCCUGAUAACUGCUGUUGCUGUAACCUUGGGAUGACCUCUAAGCCCCCUGCCUGUGUCCAUUGAAACAAUGGCUAGCAUUGAAACACACUCUGAAUGGGCAACUCGGCUGGGUCAGUUCUUCACAGGGGCUUGGCCCAGUGUCUGGCAGACAGGAGGCACUCAAUAAAUAGCAGUUGUUUUUAUUUUAUAAAUGAGACACCUGAGGCUCAGAGGGUCAGGUAACUGACCUCAAGUUACCCAUCAGUGAGUGGCAAAACUGGGAAAAACCCCAGCUCAGCUUGAUCUGGAAACCUUGGCCUCAUUUCACCCGGCACAGUGCCUCUGCAGAGACAGAGGGCUCCUUUGUGGAGCCCUCGAGUGCUAGACGGACCCACAAAAUUACUCAUCAGCUGCAGUCCGCCCCGACUAGUUGUGGACGAUGUCUGCCAGCUGCCUACAGAAUCCACCCUUUUCCUUUGGAAUUCCCUCCUUCUCCUGACGCUGACAAUACCCUUGCCCUUCAGAGGACCUGCCUUCCCACUCUCCAUUGGACACUGUGGAACUUCUUGGCGUCCAGUCCCAAGGGCACAGCCACCGCAGGACUUCACGUCUGCCUGCCUGAGCAGGGCUGGUGUCUUAUGAAUGGCAGCUGAGACCCAGUUCAGGCUCACGACCUCAUAUCACAGAAAUGAACUCAAAGGAAAAUGACUAAUCACCGACCUACUCAGAAUCAUUGGUCCCCGGCAAGCAAGGGUGAUCCUGCAUCAAUCUAUUAAUUUUCAUUUCCAGGGUUCUCAGAUGUAAAACAAAUGUUUGAUGUAAUCCGCAACACUGCUCUGUUAUAAUUAAACAACCUCCUACUGCCUAAAUUGGCAAAGCACUCCAUCGAUCAGUGAUAAAUGUGGUCCUUGGGAGACUGCUUUUAUGUUUGUUUCACUCAUGGGAAAAUGGCCACAACCCUUUUGUAAGAUUCCUCGGCUGCUGCUCUCCCCAGGUUACAAUCAUAGUAACUGCUGCUUCUGGGAUGCCUCGCUGUAAUCCUCAUGUUCAAUGAUGGCUCAAUGGAUAUGUGCUUGAAGGAGAGUGAGUGAUGGGGAGUCUACAGUUAUGAAUAAAAUAUAUUCAAGUCAAUAAACCCUUCCUGGGUUCCUUUGCCUCACCAUUUUAUGCACAAUUUAUGAAGCACCCUACACAUACCAGGAGCUAUUUGCAAUGUUUAAGAUGUGGGAGCCCCCAUAAUUCUAAAU
rnacentral:lncRNA from 10 species